rnacentral:rRNA from 1 species
GACGAACGCUGGCGGCGUGCCUAAUACAUGCAAGUCGAACGCAGUGGGGACGGUUGAGUAACACGUUGGUAACCUCCCAUCAGAGGGGAUAACACUUGGAAACAGGUGCUAAACCGAUAGUGAUGAAUGGACCCUGGGUGCAUUAGCUAGUUGGUGAGGUAACGGCGCACCAAGGCCACGAUCCAUAGCUGGUCUGAGAGGGUGAUCGGCCACACUGGGACUGAGACACGGCCCAGACUCCUACGGGAGGCAGCAGUAGGGAAUCUUGGGCAAUGGACGAAAGUCUGAUGCAGCCACGCCGCGUGAGUGAAGAAGGUUUUCGGAUCGUAAAGCUCUGUUGGUAGGGAAGCGUUACCUAAACAGGAAGCAACGGCUAACUCCGUGCCAGCAGCCGCGGUAAUUC